UACGGAGGGUGCGAGCGUUGUCCGGAAUCACUGGGCGUAAAGCGCACGUAGGCGGACUCUUAAGUCGGUGGUGAAAUCCUGGAGCUCAACUCCAGAACUGCCUUCGAUACUGAGAGUCUCGAGUCCGGGAGAGGUGAGUGGAACUGCGAGUGUAGCGGUGAAAUGCGUAGAGAUUUGGAGGAACACCAGUGGCGAAGGCGACUCACUGGUCCAUUACUGACGCUGAUGCACGAAAGCUAGGGGAGCAAACAGG
rnacentral:rRNA from 1 species